CGCAAUGCAGCAAACGGCCUUUUCCACAAACCAACACCCGAUACGCAACCCAGCGGACAUGCCAAGCUCAAGUAGGUCCAACCCCACGUUGAUUGAUAUUCCCAUUACGAGAGCUACUGGCUUGGAUUUAUUAUUAUUAUUUUAUUUUUUAUUUUUUAUUUUCGAAGUAUUCCUUCUCUCACCUUAUUUUCGAAACUACGGCCCAUGUUGAAAUAGUCGGUUCAACCGGCGAUCGCACGGCCAUAUUG
rnacentral:lncRNA from 1 species